CAGCAGCCGCGGGAAUACAGAGGAUGCAAGCGUUAUCCGGAAUGAUUGGGCGUAAAGUGUCUAUAGGUGGCUUUUCAAGUCCGCCGUCAAAUCCCAGGGCUCAACCGUGGACAGGCGGUGGAAACUACCAAGCUGGAGUACGGUAGGGGCAGAGGGAAUUUCCGAUGGAGCGGUGAAAUGCGUUGAGGUCGGAAAGAACACCAACGGAGAAAGCACUCUGCUGGGCCGACACUGACACUGAGAGACGAAAUCUAGGGGAGCAAAUGGGAUUAGAUACCCCCGUAGUCCCUGUCUCUUAUAA
rnacentral:rRNA from 1 species